GCGUACUUUUGAAAACAAACUGUUUGUUAUGAAAGUUAGUGAUAAAAGUUUUAAUAUAUUGAAACAGUUUGCAUCACAACAAGAAGUAGUUUUAUAUAACUGAAACAGUUUGUAUCACGCGAAGAAGUGGUUUUACGAGAAACGAAACAGUUUGUAUCACGCGAAGAAGUGGUUUUACGAGAAACGAAACAGUUUCAUGCGAUCAUGCAUCAAGCGAAGAAGUGGACGGAAAAUUUAUUUUAGUUAAAAUAGUCAACACAAACAAAUCGUUAGUUAUCUUGGUGUCAUUGGUAGCGCCAACAUUAAAGAUAUGACAAGGAGUGCAUUAACAGUUUUGAUAACUUAUGUUUUAGCAAGUGAAUUAAAUUGGAACAUGGGGAAAAACAUGUCUUUUCAGUCCUUAUGAUAAGAAAAAUUAACAAUGAUGCAGUUCAACUCAAUUCAUUUACAAAAAAAGCUACAGCUACUGAAGUAGAAGACGUAUUAAAGGAAUGGCUUCAAAACGCAAAAAGUAGGAGCCAAGGUCGCGCAAUGCGGAGAAGAUUUGAGUUGAAU